rnacentral:rRNA from 1 species
UACGAAGGGGCUAGCGUUGCUCGGAAUCACUGGGCGUAAAGGGCGCGUAGGCGGCCAUUCAAGUCGGAGGUGAAAGCCCAGGGCUCAACCCUGGAAUUGCCUUCGAUACUGUUUGGCUAGAGACCGGAAGAGGGUAAGUGGAACUGCGAGUGUAGAGGUGAAAUUCGUAGAUAUUCGCAAGAACACCAGUGGCGAAGGCGGCUUACUGGUCCGGUUCUGACGCUGAGGCGCGAAAGCGUGGGGAGCAACAGG